UACGGGGGGAGCAAGCGUUGUCCGGAUUUAUUGGGCGUAAAGAGCUCGUAGGCGGCUUAGAAAGUCAGGUGUGAAACCUCCAGGCUCAACCUGGAGACGCCACUUGAUACUUCUAUGGCUUGAGUACGGUAGGGGACCAUGGAAUUCCUGGUGUAGCGGUGAAAUGCGCAGAUAUCAGGAGGAACACCAGUGGCGAAGGCGGUGGUCUGGGCCGAUACUGACGCUGAGGAGCGAAAGCGUGGGGAGCGAACAGG
rnacentral:rRNA from 1 species